rnacentral:lncRNA from 1 species
ACACCCUUGCAGAGGAACAGGCGGAAUUGUUGGCCGCAUCGAAAUCAACGUUGACCCGUAAUUCCCUCAAAAUGCAAUUCUCUGAGUUCUCUAACCAAACAGAUGGUGGGCAUUCCGAAGCCUCUGUGACGAACGCACACAGAGAAGUCUCCUGAUCAAACGAGAGAGUUCGAACAUUCAAAAUGCAAUUCUCUGAGUUCUCAAACCAAACAGAUGGUGGGCAUUCCAAAGCCUCUGAGACGAACGCACACAGGUAAGUCUCCUGAUCAAACGAGAGAGUUCGAACAUCUAAUUUUGCAAGCCAAAUAAACAACACCAAAGGCAACAUAAAGAUAACCAAAGUUACAUAACGUAAAUUAGCACACAAGUCUCAUCAUUCAUGGAUGAUGAGGACGACAGUAGCAACGCAGGCUUUAUGCAUCUGGAAUCCAACCGCAUACCAAAUCCAAACGAUCGUUUGGGGCAACAGCGAGGGGCGGAUCAAUGGAUGGUGCAGGUGGACGAAGAGGAGGGAUUCUUGUCUGCCGCUUUGUCAUCGACGACGGCGCCACCGCCGGA